GCCCGGAUAGUUUAACGGUUAGAACAUGGGUCUCAUACUUCGGUAUGAUGGAGCAAAGCUCUUCGACCCCACUGAUCAACGUGAUCCCAAGAUCUGAGUUCGAUUCUCAGUCCAGGCA
rfam:Baudoinia panamericana TAMH 10762 unplaced genomic scaffold BATCOscaffold_13, whole genome shotgun sequence.